rnacentral:lncRNA from 1 species
CACGGUCUUUGAAGAAAAGACCCUAAAGUGAAAAGGUAGUUGUGAUUCUUCCAAUUCCUUUCACAGAAAUGUGGUAUAUGGGGUCUUCAGGGAAGAUGAGGACCUCUGGUAUGAGGACUUGCCAAGACCUUUUCAUGACUAUUUUCUUCCCUUGGUGUCCACUAGAUACCCAGCUCUUAACUAUGGUUCCAAGAUGGUGUAGCAUACACAGUGGCCAUCCCCGAGUGAAUCAUGGUGGCAGGCUUGACUACUCCCUUGAUCUGAAGAGUAGAUAACUUGUCCAUGGUGACAGAACCAAUAUGUGUCAGAGGAAGAAUAUGAAACAAGGACUUGCUGAUUCCAAUGCAGGAUCUCUCCUCAUCUGUCUACAAUACCUUCUUUUGGUCUAUAACAGGUU